UGGUUGUAACUUUUUUUCUACAAGUGGUAUUUUAAAAAGGAUAACAGUUCCAUAAAAUAGAGAUCUUUAGCUAAAAAAUCUGCCCACUUAAUAAAUGAUGUGUACAAAUUUACUUUUUCAUGUUGAUGUUCACUUUUGCUUGAUCGGACCCUAUAAUGAAAACAUGG